rnacentral:ncRNA from 1 species
AAUAGGUUUGGUCCCGGCCUUUCUAUUAACUUCUAGCAAGAUUACACAUGCAAGCAUCUCCGCCCCAGUGAAGACACCCUGCAAAUCAUUAUGAUUGAAAGGAGUAAGUAUCAAGCACGCUCAAUGCAGCUCAAGACACUUUGCUCAGCCACACCCCCACGGGAAACAGCAGUGACUAAUAUUUAGCAAUAAACGAAAGUUUAACUAAGCUAUGCUAUNAAUAGGGUUGGUCAAUUUCGUGCCAGCUACCGCGGCCAUACGAUUGACCCGAGCUAAUAGACAUCGGCGUAAAGAGUGUUUUAGAUGUACUUAACCAAAUAAAGCUGAACUAUUCCUAAACUGUAAAAUCCUAGCCAAUGUAAAACAAACUACGAAAGUGGCUUUAAAAAAUUCUGAAUACACUAUAGCUAAGACUCAAACUGGGAUUAGACACCCCACUAUGCUCAGCCCUAAACUUCAAUAGUUGAAAUAACAAAACUACUCGCCAGAACACUACAAGCAACAGCUUAAAACUCAAAGGACUUGGCGGUGCUUCAUAUCCCCCUAGAGGAGCCUGUUCCGUAACCGAUAAACCCCGAUUUACCCUACCAUCUCUCGCUCAGCCUAUAUACCGCCAUCUUCAGCAAACCUCAACAAGAGACGCAAAGUAAGCACAAACGCCCANNNNNCGCAAAAACGUUAGGUCAAGGUGUAGCCUAUGAGCUGGGAAAAAAUGGGCUACAUUUUCUACCUCAGAAAANUCUACGAUAACUCUUAUGAAAUCUAAGAGUCUAAGGAGGAUUUAGCAGUAAACUAAGAGUAGAGUGCUUAGUUGAACUAGGCCAUGAAGCACGCACACACCGCCCGUCGCUCUCCUCAAAUAUAUUUAAGAAAUAACUUAACUAAAUAAAACAAUAUUUAUAUAGAGGAGAUAAGUCGUAACAUGGUAAGUGUACUGGAAGGUGCACUUGGAUAAAU